UAGCUCAGUCAGUUGAGCAUAGCGCUAAAAACGCUAAAGUCACGGGUUCGAUUCCCGU
rnacentral:tRNA from 1 species